AGAAAACGUGGUGACGGUGGUUUGCUAAGUUUAGCUAAAGUUUAGUGUACUGACAGUUAUAGUGAGAGUCUAAUUUAGAUAUUUUGAACAAUCGACGCCUUUGCAGAGUGUUUUUGCAGUGCUCAAAUACUUGAAAUCUUUGGGUAACCUGAUCAUAUAGCUACAGUUUGAUAUUUGGUUUGUUAACAGACAAAGCAUUUGAAGAAAUAUAUACUGUGCCCAGAAAAAAGAUGAGAACAAAACGACAGUCUGCUGAACAGAAGGCAGCAAGAGAAAAACGGAGACGAAAGAUGAUGAAAGAUGUUGGGCCUGUUGCUAAGGCAUACCAUAAAAGUCAGAGUUUGGUGGGCAUCUCUAAAAAAAACCCAAAGCUUGAAAUGUGUUCCAAAUCAGGAACAGUGGUCAAAGCUAACAAUGUUAGCGGCCAGAGGCUAGUCAAGGCCUCUUUAAAAAACCUUGACAAAACCAUGAAAACUGAAACUGAACUGAAAACUGAAACAAAACUGAAUACUGAAACUAUACUGAAAACUGAACUGAAAACUGAAACAAAACUGAGCACUGAAACUAUACUGAAUACUGAAA